rnacentral:rRNA from 1 species
UGGGGAAUUUUGGACAAUGGGGGCAACCCUGAUCCAGCCAUGCCGCGUGAGUGACGAAGGUCUUCGGAUUGUAAAGCUCUUUUGGCGGGGACGAUAAUGACGGUACCCGCAGAAUAAGCCCCGGCUAACUUCGUGCCAGCAGCCGCGGUAAUACGAAGGGGGCUAGCGUUGUUCGGAAUUACUGGGCGUAAAGCGCACGUAGGCGGACUGAUAAGUCAGGGGUGAAAUCCCGGGGCUCAACCACGGAACUGCCUUUGAUACUGGCUGUCUCGAGGUCGAGAGAGGUUGGUGGAAUUCCUAGUGUAGAGGUGAAAUUCGUAGAUAUUAGGAAGAACACCAGUGGCGAAGGCGGCCAACUGGCUCGAUACUGACGCUGAGGUGCGAACGCGUGGGGAGCAAACAGGAUUAGAUACCCCAGUAGUCCCUGAGCGGGCUGGCAAGGCGCAU